rnacentral:rRNA from 1 species
CCUACGGGUGGCAGCAGUGGGGAAUAUUGCACAAUGGGCGCAAACCUGAUGCAGCCAUGCCGCGUGUAUGAAGAAGACCUUAGGGUUGUAAAGUACUUUCAGUUGGGAGGAAGGCGUUAAUGCUAAUAUCAUCAACGAUUGACGUUACCAACAGAAGAAGCACCGGCUAACUCCGUGCCAGCAGCCGCGGUAAUACGGAGGGUGCAAGCGUUUAUCGGAAUUACUGGGCGUAAGGCGCACGCAGGCGGUUGAUUAAGUUAGAUGUGAAAUCCCCGGGCUUAACCUGGGAAUGGCAUCUAAGACUGGUCAGCUAGAGUCUUGUAGAGGGGGGUAGAAUUCCAUGUGUAGCGGUGAAAUGCGUAGAGAUGUGGAGGAAUACCGGUGGCGAAGGCGGCCCCCUGGACAAAGACUGACGCUCAGGUGCGAAAGCGUGGGGAGCAAACAGGAUUAGAUACCCCUGUAGUC